UUUGAUUUUAUUUAUUUUUAGUUGUCUCAAUUUUAUUGGACUUGGAAUCUUACUUAAUUCAAAAUAUUCUUUUUUUAUUUUAUUAAUCUUUGGAGCUCAUUUUUAGACAAUUUUAAACCGUUGCACAUUACAAAACCAUUUCUUUAUUCUUGAUUUCUGACAUUGAAUUGAUAACAAUAUGUCAAAUUGAACUUGGAAAAGUAAAAAAUAUAUGGCUUUGUUUGGAAAAAUACUUGCUCACAUCUCAAGAUAGGGGUAAAAUUGGAAGUUGACCAUAAAUAUGCAUAACACAAUUUGAAUUAGUUUUCUGAUGGUGAGCCAUGUGAUGUGAUAGAAGAAUACAUUUUUUCCACGAUAAUGGUCCCCAAACGAGUAUACGUCCUUCCUAGCAACUACAUUAUUUUGGUAAAUUAAUCAUGAAAGUCUUUCUUUAAUGAUUAAGUAAACAAAGAAUAAUGAAAUAAAGAAAGCAUAUUUUUUAUUUCAGUAAGAUACAGUCCAAUAAAGCUAAGGAAAAUAAAAAUAAAUUAAAAAUCCAAUAAUCUAUCAACUUGACCCUGAACUUCUGAUCCUAACAAACUCGUUUGGAACAACAAAUUUGAAAUAUUGUACCACUAAUUGACACAUAGGAGAUGAUAAAAAUAAUUUGUUUAUUUUAUUGAAGUUGUAAUUAAUAUAUCCAAAAUAUCCAGUACGUACAAUAUGAAUUGAGUGCAAAAAAUGCAAAACAGCCCAAGACAGUCGAGACCCAUAAAAUAAAUAAAUAAGUAGAGGAUAUACAUCUUUUUAAUAAAAUAUUCAUAUUUUAGUAUUUUACAAUUCAUCAAAUUUUAAUAUCAUAAUUAUGCCAAUUUAAAACUAAAUUUGAUCUACACAAUAACAUCACUCCUAAAAUUAGUCUAUAAUUUCAGUGUUUAUCAUGCCUAUAAAUAGUCACUCCAAACAGUCUUU
rnacentral:lncRNA from 1 species